UACGUAGGGUGCGAGCGUUACUCGGACUUACUGGGCGUAAAGCGUGCGCAGGCGGUUUUUUAAGACCGAUGUGAAAGCCCCGGGCUUAACCUGGGAAUGGCAUUUGGGACUGCAAGGCUGGAGUGCGGCAGAGGAGACUGGAAUUCCCGGUGUAGCAGUGAAAUGCGUAGAUAUCGGGAGGAAUACCGAUGGCGAAGGCAGGUCUCUGGGCUGACACUGACGCUCAUGCACGAAAGCGUGGGGAGCAAACAGG
rnacentral:rRNA from 1 species